rnacentral:rRNA from 1 species
UACGUAGGGGGCAAGCGUUGUCCGGAUUUAUUGGGCGUAAAGAGCGUGUAGGCGGCCAAAUAGGUCGGUUGUGAAAACUGGAGGCUUAACCUCCAGACGUCGACCGAAACCAUCUGGCUAGAGUCCGGAAGAGGAGAGUGGAAUUCCUGGUGUAAGCGGUGAAAUGCGCAGAUAAUCAGGAAGAACACCGUGGCGAAGGCGGCUCCUCUGGGACGGUACUGACGCUGAGACGCGAAAGCGUGGGGAGCGAACAGG